rnacentral:lncRNA from 1 species
UCACAACUGAAGGUAAUCAANUCAUUGUCGGCAGCCGGUGGAUGGAUGAAUAGUACAAAUUACGCGCUUUCUGACAAAGCUGCCCGUAAUUUCCGCAAAGCAGAUUCCUCAUUGAUAUCUGGAAUCGGCGCUUCGAGCUCUGAGCAUCGUCGAUUGUAGAGGUAGCAUGUAACGUGCGGAUAAAUCUGGAAAAAGAAGAUUUGCCCGUGGGUUGAAGCCCAGCUUUUGAGAAAGCUAGCGUGUCUUUGACUGUUGAAUUUCCCUAUUCGAUUUCUGAAUUGGUGCUUCGACAAACUGCCCGAGAUUUCCGCAAAGCUGCAAGUUGCAUGUGACGAGUGACGACACGUCUGGACAAAUUGAUCUUUUGAAAUCCGGUGUUCGGCUCGUGGUUUUUGAGCAAGCCCAGCCUUUAAGAAAUGAAAUGCCUCUUUUGAGAAAAGAAUCCGGCUUUUGAGAAAGGAAACUCCUCUUUUGAGAAAAGAAUCAGGCGUUUGAGAACGGAGCCCCGACUCUUCGAUUUGCGAGAGGACGCCUCUUCAAUUUUUGAGGAGCGCCUCUUUGAUUUCUUUCUUUUUAUAGAGGCGCUAAUUUUGUUACAACACACUUGAGCUCCCUCCUGUAAACACUCCCUUCUUACACUUGUUUAAUCUUGAUCAGUCCUCCUCUCUUCUUUCUUCACCACCUCUGAAAAUGUCUGGCCCUUCCGAUCGUCGUUUUGACUUGAACCUUGGUGAAGAGGCAGCUCCGCUUCACCAGACAAAUAUGGCGCCCAUCCUUCAUAUCCCCUACCGGUCCCCUUACCGUGGGGGAUUCGGUGAUGAAAAAUGAUAUGACGCUGCGGUGGUGGCCGGAACCUUGUCACCCCCAGAGAUAACAGACUGCUCGCUAGACGGUCUGAUGAAUUGGCGGUUAAGGAGUCUCUGGCUCUUAGCGUGCAGUGUGCUGGUUCGGUGUCCAACAUGGCCCAACGCCUAUAUGCUCGAACCCGUCACGUUGAAUCGUUGGUGGCUGAAAUACAGAGUCUCAAAGAGGAGAUUAGAGGACUCAAGCAUGAAAAUAAACAAUUGCACAAGCUUGCACACAGUUAUGCCACAAACAUGAAGAGGAAAAUUGACCAGCUGCAGGAAAAUGAUGGUCAGAUUUUACUUGAUCACCGGAGGUUUGUGGGUUUGUUCCAACCGCAUCUGCCUUCGUCUUCUGGGGCGGCACCGCGUAGUGAAGCUCCAACUGAUCAAUCUCCGAUACCUCCUCCUUCCGUGGCCCCGCCGACUGCUGAAGCACCGCCGACUACUGAAGCACCACCUGACCAAUGAAGCACCACCUGACCAAUGAAUGCUAUUAGCUUACACAUCAUUGUAAAAUAUUUUUACUUUUAUGUUUUUUUUUUAAGUGUUUUUUUUUUUAUUUUAUUUUAUUUUUAAAUAUGUAAAUUAAUGUAAAAAGACUUUGUUUAACCUUUCCCCACACUUAAACUACAAACUCACAGAAAUCAACCAAAUAACACAACCAACUAAACAAAACAAAAUGAAAGCAGUAAAGAUAAGGGUGUAAGAAUGCAAAUCUGAUUUGGUUAGCGAUUCCAAAGUCUCCCUUCGUUGAAUGCUUGGGUGCCUCCCAAGAAGCGCUUGAUUUAACGUCUUUAGCCGGACAAAUCUUUCCUUUAAAUUCCCCUCGGCUCCAAAGCAUGGAAUUUAUCUUUUAAUGGGAGGUGAUACUUGAAAUGAUUCGGCAAUGGUUUAAAUUCAAGAGUGGGUGCCUGAAUCAUCAAAAUCAGAAAAAUGUUAGUAUAAAUAAAAAUUAAAAUUGGAGAAGAUGGCUUACUUUCUUUUUCCGACACAAACUCAAUGACAAACACCACAUCUUUGAACAUUUCUGGGAUUUUGAACUUGGCCAGGUUUACUAUGAUGGUUGUGGCUUGUCCCGGGUCAUCAAACUCAACUGCUUUGGGCUUGAUUGUCUCAUGCACAGCCCCUUGGAUGAAUUCUUGAUCUGCUUCAACCACUUCAUUCUCUUGAAUCGUUCUUCUUGGGAAACAAAGGCCUUUGAAAUAUUCAACAUGAUCUAGAACUUGCUUUGUUGCACCAAGAAUUGGAAUAUCCUUUUGUACCUUUGGAAGAGCUUCCACAAUGUCUUUUUCACUCUCUUCUUGCUUGGGAAUAAAAAACCUGCUAGGAAAAAGGACAUUGGGAGGAAUAUCAUUAGAAUGAAGUGAAUUUAGAACUCCCUUACCUGAGUUGGAUGACAUAGGGAUUUGAGGAGCUUGCAGUAAGAAUUCUUCUAAACUGCCCAGGUCGUCCUCCUCCUCUUCUGCUUGCAGCAGCAAUUCAUCCAUGUUCGGGCUGUGUUUGGAUGGUUCUGGGACAGCUUCAUCCUUCAUGUCACCUUCCAAAGUGAUAGCAUCGUGGAUUUCAAAAUCUUCCUUCGAAUUUUCAACAGUUGAGCUGGAGAGUUCACUUUGCUCUUGAAUUUGUACCAUGAAUUCCAUAAUCUCUCCCAUUUGACUCAUCAAUUUAUCCAACUUCUUGUCUUGAUUUUGUGAGCCCUGCACCAAAGAAUUUAAUUCAUCAAAAAUUUGAUUGUAAUCUAUUGACGAAUCUGAGUUUGAUUGAGCAUAUUGCAUAGGUUUUGAAUAGAAAUCCUCAUCUUGCUGCCAAUAUCCCUCUUGUUGGAAUUGUUGAGGUUCCCCCCACAUAUAAUUUGAAUGAUCUCUCCAAGCCGAAUUGUAAGCGUUGGAAAACAUGUUGUUACUUGGUUGAUCAUAGCCUUGAUAACCCCAAGCAUCUUCAUUGGCAGAAAAUUGAGGACUUUGAUAUCCUUGCCCAUAGGGCACAUCAAGUGUAGGGACACUUGGCAUUGUGGUCCGUUCGGCAUACUGCGACAUUUGAGAAGUAAGAUUUGCCAAUUGAGCUUGAAUGCUAGCAAAAUCCAUGUCUUACUUCUCUAGUACCUAAAAUCAAAGAAAGAAAACUAAAUCAAAUAUCAAAAGUAACACAAAAUAAGGAAAACAAAACUAAGUCAGAAACUAAAACAAAACCAAACUAAACAAAAAGAAAAGAACCAAGGGAUUAGCAAAGUUGCUAAUCCCCGGCAACGGCGCCAAAAUUUGGUGUGAGAAUUACUUGACACACAAAUUAAACCCUCUUUUUGACAAUUGUAGUAUAGAUGUAAGUAGGGUAUCGUUCUAGGCCGGGGAUUAGGAGGGAUUGCUAAUCUAUUCUAAAUUAAUUUAAAAAUAUUAAACAAGACUCAAGGACACAAAACUAGGCUAAAAACUCUAAUAACUCGAAACACACUUAGAAUGACUCAAAAUAAUGAAAACAAUCAAUUUAGACACUAGGAACUGAAAUGGACGGAAAUUGAAUUAAAAGACUAACAACAAUGAAAACUAACUAAAUAAUAUAAUUUUAAUAAUGGGGGGGUUUGGUUUUGACGAGAAGUAAAUUAAACUUAAAUAAAUUACAGAAUUGACAAAAGCAUGAAUUAAGGUGAAAUGAUAAGUGACGGAUUAGCUAGAGGGUUCUUCUCCACACAUGACACAUAUGCAACCUAAAUUGAUUUUCAGUUGUUCUUUCAAUAAAAUUGUAAAUCUCAACGCCCCAAAUUAACCGUGAAUUGCACUAAUUAACCCUCAGUUUUUCCACAAUGUUAUUGGGUUGGAUGAUUGCAUACGACAACCCAAAACAUUCCCUACAAGUUCCCUACAUGAAUUGCAUAAUAGAGACACAAGCAAGAAUCAUUAAGUUCUAUGAAAAACAUAAGCAUUGACGAGGCACUCGUUACUAUGAUUUUGCAUGAAACUUUAUGCCAAGAAUUUACUUAACGUGAUUGUGACUAGCAACCUUCACUACUUGUGAAUAUAAGUUCAUAACGAUUAGGUGAAGUUCACUUAUAUUCUAGCAUCAAAUUCAUGCAUGUAAAUUAAGUAUGCAUCCUUAAUCGACAUACAAAAAUAAGUUAUAAAUCAAGCAGUUAAGCAAAUUAAAUCACAACUCAGAAAUCACAACUGAAGGUAAUCAAUUCAUAUUACAAAUAUAUUCAUGGUUUUGAAUUAACCUCUAGCCAAAAUAAAUUUAGUUACACAUUAUUAAAACAGAAAUAAAAUAUAAGUUUGGAAAGAUUUAACCGAAAGAGGAAAAGAUCUCUGUCUGCGUUUCCACUGAGCUGCCCUCUCGCUGCCCAAAGGCAACGCCUAUCUGCACGUCUCUGCUCCCCGUUCCUUCUCGCUACGCCUUGCCACCUCUUCUUUUAUUCUGCUGUCAGUCAAGGCUGCAAGACAGCACCCCGUGCUCACCUCUCGGUUUCUAUCCUUCCUCUGACUGUCUCGCUGACAGUCUCCUGGCGCACUGUCUCCCCAAUUCUUUUCUUCACGACCUUCUUAUAUUUUCCUUUCCGUCAGUCUACCCGCGUCAACCCCUCUCACUGCCCAAAGGCAGCACCUCGUCUGGACCCUUUCUCUAUCCCAUACUGACUUGCCUCGUCU